CCAUCUCAGCCCUCCAGAUCCUUCUGUUCUCCCUAGAUUGUCUACAACCUGUUGUCUCUGCGCUUCAACUCACGGAUCCGUGUGAAGACCUACACAGAUGAGCUGACGCCCAUUGAGUCUGCUGUCUCUGUGUUCAAGGCAGCCAACUGGUAUGAAAGGGAGAUCUGGGACAUGUUUGGAGUCUUCUUUGCUAACCACCCUGAUCUAAGAAGGAUCCUGACAGAUUAUGGCUUCGAGGGACAUCCUUUCCGGAAAGACUUUCCUCUAUCUGGCUAUGUUGAGUUACGUUAUGAUGAUGAAGUGAAGCGGGUGGUGGCAGAGCCGGUGGAGUUGGCCCAAGAGUUCCGCAAAUUUGACCUGAACAGCCCCUGGGAGGCUUUCCCAGUCUAUCGCCAACCCCCGGAGAGUCUCAAGCUUGAAGCCGGAGACAAGAAGCCUGAUGCCAAGUAGCUCCAGGGAACGCAUGUGGAUCCUAGACAGCGCCUUAUCUAUGAUUGAGUGUCCGUGUAAAUAAAUUCCUACUUAGACUU
rnacentral:misc_RNA from 1 species